rnacentral:rRNA from 1 species
UGGCCUGGCGGCUGCUUAACAUGCAGUCGAACGGCAGCGGGGGUGCUUGCACCUGCCGGCGAGUGGCGAACGGGUGAGUAAUGCGUCGGAACGUACCCAGUAGUGGGGGAUAACUUACCGAAAGGUAAGCUAAUACCGCAUACGCACUGAGGUGGAAAGCAGGGGACCUUCGGGCCUUGUGCUAUUGGAGCGGCCGAUGUCGGAUUAGCUAGUUGGUGAGGUAAAGGCUCACCAAGGCGACGAUCCGUAGCUGGUCUGAGAGGAUGAUCAGCCACACUGGAACUGAGACACGGUCCAGACUCCUACGGGAGGCAGCAGUGGGGAAUUUUGGACAAUGGGCGCAAGCCUGAUCCAGCCAUGCCGCGUGAGUGAAGAAGGCCUUCGGGUUGUAAAGCUCUUUCGGCCGGGAAGAAAUCGGUGAGGCUAAUAUCCUCACUGGAUGACGGUACCGGAAUAAGAAGCACCGGCUAACUACGUGCCAGCAGCCGCGGUAAUACGUAGGGUGCGAGCGUUAAUCGGAAUUACUGGGCGUAAAGCGUGCGCAGGCGGUUUUGUAAGACAGGCGUGAAAUCCCCGGGCUCAACCUGGGAACUGCGCUUGUGACUGCAAGGCUAGAGUACGGCGGAGGGGGGUGGAAUUCCACGUGUAGCAGUGAAAUGCGUAGAGAUGUGGAGGAACACCGAUGGCGAAGGCAGCCCCCUGGGCCGAUACUGUCGCUCAUGCACGAAAGCGUGGGGAGCAAACAGGAUUAGAUACCCUGGUAGUCCACGCCCUAAACGAUGUCAACUAGGUGUUGGGUGGGUAAAACCAUUUAGUACCGUAGCUAACGCGUGAAGUUGACCGCCUGGGGAGUACGGCCGCAAGGUUAAAACUCAAAGGAAUUGACGGGGACCCGCACAAGCGGUGGAUGAUGUGAUUAAUUCGAUGCACGCGAAAACCUUACCUACCCUUGACAUGUCCAGAACCCUUGAGAGAUUGAGGGUGCCCGAAAGGGAACUGGAACACCAGU